GGACAAAUUCCUUAGGAUGACUCUGUUAUGCUCAGAUUUCGUAGGUUCUGUUUCAGAACACUCCAAGAUACUGAGAUGAAGCUCUUCUCUUUACCUCCAAUUUUUAUCCUGCUUUUGUCUAUGCAAGUCAUUAGUAGAACGUUCUGCUAGAACAUGGAUGAAGUUUCCUUAGUGGUUUAAAUUACAUCAACAUCACUAUCAGCUCCAGAAGAACAGGUUGUGGAUGAUCUGCUCCAGGUCCAGUAGCUGAACAUAGCUACGUUGCCCUAAUCUAGAGGACGGAGAAGGAAGGGUUCAGUUUUGAACCAGAACUACGGAUUGGUGUAUUGACUAGAGGCUUUAUUAGGUAGAGGAUCAGAGGAGGGAGAGUCCACAAUCGCUGUCUGUGUGCUAGAGAGCUGGAGUGCUGCUCAAUCCAAGACGCUGCAAGUUACAGAACAAGAGGAUUCAUGAAUAUAGCAUCAGCCUAAGACCAAAGGCUCAGAGGGUUUCUGGAGAGUUGCUGGUAUGAGACUGUGUGGAAAGGCUGAAGGAACUGGAGUCUGAUGUUUACAGGUGAAGGUGGCAAAAAAAUACCCACUGAAGCAGAAUGGGGCUCUUGAAAAGGCAUGCAAAUCUCCUUCUUUCCCUUUUAAUCCACCCAGGCUCCAAGCCUAUUGAUGGUGCUAUCCCACAACUAGAGCAGGUAGUCCCCGCUUAGUUUUCUGGUCAACAUGCCAGUGAUCUCUGGAAAUACCCCAC
rnacentral:lncRNA from 1 species